rnacentral:rRNA from 1 species
UACGUAGGGUGCAAGCGUUGUCCGGAAUUAUUGGGCGUAAAGAGCUCGUAGGCGGUUUGUCGCGCCUGCUGUGAAAACUCGGGGCUUAACCCCGGGCCUGCAGUGGGUACGGGCAGACUAGAGUGCGGUAGGGGAGACUGGAAUUCCUGGUGUAGCGGUGAAAUGCGCAGAUAUCAGGAAGAACACCGGUGGCGAAGGCGGCCUGCGUGGGCAGUGGCUGACGCUGAGGCGCGACAGCGUGGGGAGCAAACAGG